GGCAGCCCAGGGACCGGCGGGCGGAACGAGCGCCCCGACCGCCCCGCCAGCACCUUGCGUCCCGCGUGGGCGUGUUUGGCUUCGGAAAUCCCGGGUCGUCUCAGGCGCCCGGUCCUUCCCCGGGAAACAAUCGCCGGUCCAGCGCGGAGUUCCCCGCCGCUCGACUCCAGGCGGCUCCCUGGGUUCCCCCAGUCCCUUCCGCAUCCUUCCCGGCGUCUCGGCCGCGCGCCCAGGUGUCCCCGCGCCCCGCGCUGCCCCGCGCCCGGGCCUCCCGGCUCUCCAGCGCUGGGGUCCGCGCUCCCGCCGCGGGUCCAGCCUCUCCUCCCGCCCGGCUCCGCCCAGCCUCCGCCGCGCCGGGGCUCCCGGCCCGGCCUCCCAGUCUCCCUCCCACCUCCGCCCCCCACCCCCGCCCAGAGACUUGCUAUUUUUAGCCAAUCCUCCGCGCGCCGCCACCGGCUCUGCUCACAGCUCGCAGCCGCGCGGCCGCCCUGCCGAACCACCCCCCAACCCCGCGCCGCGGUGGCCGCGGCGGCGGCGGCGGCGCAUCCCGCACAUCGCGUAGCGCGCACCGCGCGCACCCAGCCCGCCCCGCCGCUCCCGCCGCCCUCGCCGCCGUCUCCUCCUCAGGCGCCUGUCGCGGCCGGUUCUGCCUAGACCAGCUUCUCGUGGACCAGCAUUGCCAGCUAACAGAAGGCUGUGAGUCUGCAUCUCGGCCCAUCCAUCCUUCUCCUUAUUCCCAUGAUGAGUUCACCAGUGCGGUCCGGUCAGUCUGGUUGCUUUUUAAACUUUAAACAAAUUUAGUAUGAAAGAUGUUGUUUUGUAUUGCUUCAAGUUAGGCAAUUUAAAUUGUGAAAUGACUUUUUUCUCCUGAUGAAGUUUGUUCGAUAUAAUGAAUUUUGAACUGUGUUCUAUAGCCAGUCCUCUAUUGCAUAACCAACUUGCAUUCCAGGCAAUUAAUUUCAUUUGCUUUGUUAUCUGAGCAGUAGACUUUAAUUCUUCUGCUGCAAAUGUAACAUUUGGGGUGAAUUUUAUGAAGUUAUAAAUAUUUAUUAAAUAUGACGUAGGCAUCUAAUUUACAUCCAUAGUCUUUCUGACCAAAUACCUGUCUGUAUGCUUUUUAAACGGUGUCAUGGUCUUUGCAAGUCAGCUUGUGGAUUUACUCCUCUUCCAUCUCUGUGACACACAGGAAGGAUAUUUUUCUUCCCCACCCUUCUUUGCUGCCACUCCUGUUUCCUAUAUACAUAUUUAAUUAUAAUCUCAACACCUGCUUCCUCUGAGUCCAGUUAAUGUGUGGCUCAUCUAGUGUUGUGAUCAGCACAGCCAACACCCGUUUCUCCAGGAAUAGGGUGUCACUUUUGGAACAAACACGAUCCAAAUCUUCAGAAUGAUGGAAUAGCUUCAGAUA
rnacentral:lncRNA from 1 species